GCAGGUGGAAAACAUUGUGCCAAGGGAUAAUUGGGAUAGUUAUUGGAUAUGACUCCUCACCAGUUUUAAGGCUGUAUCUGAGGGUUGGAUGAGGGGUCCACUUCAGAUGAGUUUAGUGAUUUGACCCACAAGCAUGGGGUUCGGCAUGUGCCUGCUGUCUCCUGUCUCCUGCACUAUGGAGGAUGUGUUGCUGUGUGUAGGGUGCCGGGACACAGAUCCUCUCUGGGAAGAAGAUUUGCAGGGCCAGCUCCUCCAGAUGAAGGCAUGUAUUGGC